CCUACGGGAGGCAGCAGUGAGGAAUAUUGGUCAAUGGCCGUAAGGCUGAACCAGCCAAGUAGCGUGAGGGAAGACUGCCCUAUGGGUUGUAAACCUCUUUUAUGCGGGGAUAAAGGUGUCCACGGUUGGAUUUUUGGAGGUACCGCAUGAAUAAGGACCGGCUAAUUCCGUGCCAGCAGCCGCGGUAAUAAGGAAGGUCCGGGCGUUAUCCGGAUUUAUUGGGUUUAAAGGGAGGGUAGGCCGGUCUUUAAGUGUGCCGUGAAAUUUUGGGGGCCAACCCUGAGAGUGCGGCGGAAUCUGGAGAUCUUGAGUGCGCGAAAGGUAGGCGGAAUGCGUGGUGUAGCGGUGAAAUGCUUAGAUAUCACGAAGAACCCCGAUUGCGAAGGCAGCCUGCCGCAGCGGUACUGACGCUGAGGCACGAAAGCGCGGGUAUCGAACAGGAUUAGAUACCCGGGUAGUC
rnacentral:rRNA from 1 species